rnacentral:tRNA from 1 species
GCGUUGGCGGUAUAGUGGUGAGCAUAGCUGUCUUCCAAGCAGCUGACCCGGUUCGAUUCCCUCGCCAACGAA